GGGGAGGACUGUAGCUCAGUGAUAGAGCAUCUCCCUAGAAUGCAGAAGGUCCCAAGUUCAAUUCCCAGCUUCUCCA